GAAAAUAAUUAUAUUUAUAAGUACGUCUGAGUCAGUGACAACUCUACAACAGAUGUAUCCAUCGGAUCGCCAUCAAUGAUGGUGAUACAUGGCUGUGUACAUAAUGUAUAUACAACUCGUCUAAACAUCAACCCAACAAUGUUAGAUCUGUAAAAUUUGCUUUCGCAAAUUUUUUGGUUCUUCCCUCGCCGGGAUUCGAACCCAUGCUACUGUGAUAUCGUGACACCAAAUCGCCUGCACUGCAGCCGUCCCGCUAGACCACACGACCACCUGGGCUCUCUAAAAAAAAAGAGCUUUCGCUGGCCGUGUGUUACCUUUCCA
rnacentral:lncRNA from 1 species